GCAAGAUGGCGGCUUCCGUGGUCGCUGGCUCCUGCCGGGCCUGGGGCGGUUGCCACGGGCAACGGCGGCUGCUCCUCUUGCGCGGCCUGUGCAGCGGAGCGAGGCGUCCGGUUGCUGACGGGGAGACGCACUUUGGGUUCCAAACCGUGUCGGAAGCGGAGAAAGGAGAGAAGGUUUACCAAAUUUUUGAAAAUGUGGCUAAGAAGUAUGAUUUAAUGAACGAUUCAAUGAGUCUGGGAAUCCAUCGCAUUUGGAAGGAUAUCCUGCUGCAUCAAAUGAACCCUUACCCCGGAACCCAAUUACUUGAUGCUGCUGGAGGGACAGGAGACAUCGCCUUUCGCUUUAUCAAUUCUGUUCGUUCCCGGUGGGAACAUCAGAUCCGACAGAAGCUGAGAUCCCAUCAGAAUUUGUCAUGGCAAGAGAUCACCCAACUUUACCAGGAAGAGGAGCAUAAAUCUCUGGGGGGUUCCCAUGUGGUGGUCUGUGACAUUAACAAGGAGAUGCUGAAGUUUGGGAAGCAGAAAUCACAACACCUUGGCUACUCUGAAGGAUUGUCCUGGGUACUUGGAAAUGCUGAAGAGCUGCCCUUCAGUGAUGACAACUUUGAUGUUUACACAAUUGCAUUUGGUAUCCGGAAUGUCACUCAUAUUGACCAGGCACUUCAGGAGGCUUAUCGAGUCUUGAAACCAGGAGGACGGUUUCUGUGUCUAGAAUUUAGUCAAGUCAACAACUCACUUAUUUCGAGUCUGUAUGAUCUAUAUAGCUUUCAGGUUAUCCCUGUGCUGGGUGAAGUUAUUGCUGGUGACUGGAAAUCCUACCAGUAUCUUGUAGAAAGCAUCCGACGCUUUCCGGAUCAGGAGACAUUCAAGGAGAUGAUUGAAGAUGCAGGCUUUCUGAAGGUGGAAUAUCAAAACCUGGGUUCAGGCAUUGUCGCCAUUCAUUCUGGCUUCAAGCUGUGACCUUCAUCUUUUAUGUCUUGAAGGAAAAUAGAAAGGUGGACAGAAUUUUCUGAUGGUAAAAUUCAAAUGCCUGGUCCUGCCAGCAUAUUUGGUGCCAUGUCACCAAAACAGAAAAUGAAUUGAUCCCCUAGAAGAAUCUAAAUUUCAAGCCUCAAAAAAGGCAACUGUUAAAUUUUUGGAAGUCAUUUGACAGCUGUGCCUACUUAAAACGUCUGUUCAUCUUGCUGCAUGACAACAAAAGGACUACAUUAACCACUUGAAAUUGGGGCUUAAAGUCAGUGAUUUAAAAUUACUUUUAUAUCUGAUGGAUUUCUGUGAAGUGCAGCUGCAUAGGAGAACAGUCACAUUAUAAAACUCCAAGUCAGCUACCAUUGGAGUAGCAAUGCGUCACAAAGGAGAUUGAAGACAAACUCGCCUUAAAAUGAAAGGUUCAGUGACAAAAAGUAGAAGUCGCUUCCUUCCCCACAUUCUCUCCUCAAUCCGACUCAUCAAGACCACAGCAUUCCAAUGAAGUUGAGUAGUUACAAGGAAAUCUCAGGAUAUGAAAACGAGUCCAGGAUACUCCAAAUUGGUGUAAUGUGAGGUGACUGUACCUUAACAUAUCAAGUGGUUAACUGAGCUAGAACUCUGUGCUCAGAAACAGAAAGGGCAACAAACUCUGAUGGGGAAUCCUAAGUUCCAGUGCUUUAUUUCUGCGAAGUUUAGACCUCCCCUCCUCCCUCAGAAACAAGAGGUGAGGAGUCUGCUGAGGAAAUUAAGAGUUCCUGAACAUUUUUCCUAAGGAGUUUUAUAUACACACCCCACUCACAAGCAGAAGGGGCUAUAUGCUGUCUAGGCAGAGACUGUCCUAGUUUAUUUUAUUUAUUUAUUUCAUAUUUAUACUGCCCAAUAGCCGAAGCUCUCUGGGCAGUUCACAAAAAUUAAAACCAUGAGGAACAUGAUAAAAACAACCAAUAGUUGAAGUCUCUUGCUUCCCCCACCCCCUCUGAAACUAGAAAAAGUGGUUUGUUCUGUUUAAAGAGCUUCCUUCUCCCAAGUUGCCAAUGGUGUUUUUCAGCAGCACAGUUAACUCUUUUAGGUGGCUUUUUUUAAUUGCUUCAUGACUGAGUUCAAGGGUGCAGCCUUCCCCAACCUGAUGCCUGCCACAUACCCACUACCCUCAGCAAGCGUGGUCAAUUGCCAUCCUGGCUGAGGAUGGUGGGAGUUGUAGUACAACAUAUCUGGUAGGGACCAUGUUGUGGAAGGCUGUGUAGCUACCUUAGUUCCUGGCAUUGUGGUUGCAAAACUGAAUAAAACUGCCUCAGCCUUAAACAUGGCAGUCAUCUUUUACCAGUUUCUAGCCUUUGACGUAAGAAACUCCUGGAUCAUACAGAUAACUUUCGGUCUUGCUAAGGGGUAAGGUUAGGCAAGUUAGUUAAAGCUUCUGCCUGUGAUGAUAAUGUACUUCCAGUCUGGGGGUGAUUUGUAUCCUAGCAUUCCUUCCAAGCCCUUUAUUCGUUCAUUACAUCCUUUUAGACAGUGGUUUAAGCAAAGGUAUUAUAAGAAUGUAAGUUUUCUAACCGAAUGACACUAUCCUGUUGGGAUAGAACAGUAUUCCUAAGUUUAUGCUAGCUAAAGAUGUUUCCUCCACAGCCAGAUGAUUUUAAGGCAUUAAAGGUUAUCAAAAACAAUGUUUUGAUAUGUAAAUCUUCCUCCAUAAUAUAGGUUCAAGGCAAAACAUUUUAAAAAUCUCCAAAGAACUCACUGACCGGGACAAUGGGUUAUUUAACCCAUGAUAAGAUGCAGCACCCAGUUACUAGGUUACAUAUAUAACCCCCACUCAGGGUUUGUUGUGCCAUGCAAAGCCAGUGAACAUUGGUUACGCCCUCACACAACCCUAAAUCAGACAUGGGUUAUGUGAGGAUUGGACACCCUUGUAUAACCCAUGCUCGCUGGAUUCAUACAAGAUGACAAUCCCCAAGUGGGGAUUGCUUAUUCAGGAUGGCAGCCACAUGCACACCCCAGCCUCACCAUGGGUUAAAUAGCCCAGUGGGUUGUUGGUAUGCAGACAGACCCUCUUCCCCAGGAUACUGAAUGGAUCUAUUUCAACCCAGCAUUUAUGUCAUUGAUCACAUACCUCUUGUACUUGUGUACAAAGCCCUAAACAACUUGGGACCAGGAUACCUGAGAGAGCGCCUUCUCCCUUAACAACCUGCCUGGUCACUGAGGUCCUGCUCCUGGUGGUUCCAUCUAGAUCCAUCCUCCGAUUGGAAUCCACCAGGGGAAGAGCCUUCAGCGUGGUGGCGCCCCUCCUGUGGAAUUCCCUGCCUCUGGAGGUCAGGCAGGCUCCAACCUUGUACUCCUUUCGGCGCCUCCUGAAAACAUCUUUAUUCCAAGAAGCCUUUCUUUAACAUGCAGCCUUGGAUUUCUGUGUUGUUGUUGUUUUUUGCUUCUUUUUAAAUUUUGUUUUAACUGUUUUAUUCUGUUUUUAUUUUCAUUUUACCUUGUA